GACGAACGCUGGCGGCGUGCUUAACACAUGCAAGUCGAACGGAAAGGCCCCUUUGGGGGUACUCGAGUGGCGAACGGGUGCGUAACACGUGAGUAACCUGCCCUUGACUUCGGGAUAACUUCAGGAAACUGGGGCUAAUACCGGAUAGGAAUCCUUGCUGCAUGGUGGGGGUUGGAAAGCUUCGGCGGUUUUGGAUGGACUCGCGGCUUAUCAGCUUGUUGGGGGGGGAGUGGCUUACCAAGGCUUUGACGGGUAGCCGGCCUGAGAGGGCGACCGGCCACAUUGGGACUGAGAGACGGCCCAGACUCCUACGGGAGGCAGCAGUGGGGAAUAUUGCACAAUGGGCGGAAGCCUGAUGCAGCAACGCCGCGUGCGGGAUGACGGCCUUCGGGUUGUAAACCGCUUUCAGCAGGGGCGAAGCUUGUGGUGACGGUACCUGCAGAAGAAGCACCGGCUAACUACGUG
rnacentral:rRNA from 1 species